CCGGAGCCAGGCAGAUUUCAAUGGUUGCCGGCUUCCUUAUUCGAGCUUGGUGGUGUUAGGGCCAAGACUAAGAGAAGGCGAGUGAGGAAGACUUCACGGUGCAACAAUGUAAGGCUCACCAAAAACUCAGGCUCUGAUACAGGGCAUUGCAGAGCUCAAAGCCAUCUUCAAGAUCAUCCCGGCUUCGGUGACCAGUUCCUUGUUGAAGUCACACCUGGAAAGCCCGCAGAAGAAGGUGUCAAGGAAGUACUUAGUGAACUGGAGGAGGCUCAAAAGCAGGUUGGAGAAGCUGAGCUGUGACAGGAAGAUUAUCACUGCCGGUGAAACCAAACUCAGUGAAAUGAUCGCUUUUGUGCUCCGGCAAAGUGAUUUUUUUUCCUCCUUGAAAUAAUUUUGGCCUUAUUCAGGCUGAAGAAAAAGGUUGUCACUUUUCACAUACAAGGACCUGCCACGAACUUACAAAAUGUGAAAGUCAGUCCAUUUCAAACGCAAGUUACUUGAGCUCAGUAAUGCUUUUUUCCUAGCUCUUCUUCCAACAAAGGAUAAGCGUAUUCUUGAAUGCUGCAUUCUACUGUGGUGAUCAAGUUUUGUACUUCUGCUUUAAGCAAGGAUAACCAUUGGUGGGGAAAAAGAUUCUGGGAAACAAAUACCCUCAUGUCUGGCUCUCUGAUGUGUUUGCAUUUAUGACUUUGGUUCCAAGAUUUUGAUUCUUUUAUAGUCCUAUUAUCAUGCAAAGACAUUCUGGAGAAUUGCAAAGUGAGGAAAGCCAGAAGAAGAACACUUCAAAAGCUCUUUGGAGGAAUUUUUGAUCAGAAAGAGAAGAACUUGAAAAGGGCUAAGACUCCAUGACAAUAGCUCUUGUUUGUAUAAGGCAGUGGUAGCGAGCCUUCUAGAGCUUUUAGUGAUACAAACAGCCUUCUGUGUUACACGUGUUCACAGAUCUCGCCACCAGUUACAAGGAAACAAGUUUUUAUUCAUCUUUGCCCAUGAAAAGAUGAAAAUGUCUCUACAAACCCAUGUCUUCUGGGUCCAGAGAAACCGAUGUGCCAUGAUGUGCCUGAACAUGGAAUCAAAUAAACACGUCCCUGAUAGCAGCUUUCCCUUCCUGCAGUGCCUUCAGUGGUUAUGAAAACGCAGUUUAAGAUGCAGUUUUGCUGACAAAUCAGCAGGUCUCCCAAUGCUUCUGACAAGCAGUGCGUGGUGGAAAUGAAAACAAUUUUGCCUGGUCUCAUUGGAACCCCCCCGUCAACUUUGCACUCGUGGAUCCGUGUGCUGCUCUUGCCUCCUGGCUCUUAAACUUUGCAGCAGACCUGGUGGCAUAUGCUUGUACGCUGCCCUUAACUUUUUAUCACCCAGUCCUACACAUAUGUUCCUCGGGUCUUUCUCCUCUGGUUUUCAUUUUGACCUUUCUCCUAAGUGAGUUUGAACUUUAAUUUCCUUAACUCCACCCUGGUACCGUGCAAUGAAUCACACUGCUAAUGAGGAUUUUCUAAAAUUAUCCCUUUCAGCUUGUGUCACUGCUGUGGGAAACUGUGUUUUAUUCUUGACCUAAGAAUUGUAUCCGUGUGCAAAGAUGAAGAAAAGAAAUGCCUCGCUGCUUCUUGAACAUCAGCUGAUAUCCAAUAAACCACCGAGAAGCCUUUUAACUCAGGGACCUGAAAUAAUCAUCAAUUUACCAUGGGUAUUUAUCCCUUGGUUUUAGUCUUUCUCAAUUCGAUUAGCGUGGAGACCUCUGGCCUUAGUAACCCAUCCGUUCUGACUGUGUAUUCCCCAUUGAAGUCAGCCUUAAUGAAGGAUAGGUCUCCAAAGGUUCAUAAGUUUGAUUCGCAUAGCCAUUCAAAGUUUGUGUAUCCAUCAGAAUUUCUCUGGCCUGGAAAUCAGGUUAGAAAUGCCAUGAGACCAUGUUCUCUGGGGACAUUUCUCCAAAUCAAUCUCUCUCUCUCUCUCUCUCUCUCUCUCUCUCUCUCUUUCUCUCCAGCCCAGCUAGAAAUAAAUUACAAGGCAUUUCUUUUACUUCUCCUUUUCUUUUUCAAUUGUAGGUAUCAUUUUUGGUUUGUGAUUAGUAGACAUUUAACUUAAAAGUGCUGGAAGUCACAGAAUGCUCUCACACACCCUCACAUUUGGCAUAAUUUGAGAAAUCAGAUGUAACUUGAAAUCUUGUCUAUGUAAGUAAAAUUAAAAGUGCUUCUAAUAUGGUAAAGUAUUGGCUUCCACUGUUGAAAUAUAAACAAUAAAUUCAGGUGAUUAAGGCAAGGCAUUCAAGAUCUGGAUAGGGUAUUUUUCUCUGGCUCUUUUCCUGAGAAUUUAAAGCACGAUUAUUGUGUAGACAAAUGAGGACAGGGUUUUCAGCUCAUAGAUCUUCUGUAAGAGUCCACACGACUUAUUGUUUGGAACUGGGAUAGGUCAUUUGACGUAUCUGCAAUUGCUUUAGUUUCCUCCUAGCUUAACUGACAGUGCAAGUGGGCUGCUGAUUGUUUUUUUCAAAUAAACUAAGCAGUUUUUAAUUUUUUGUAUCAAUGACCCUUAAAUAGGGAGUUCACUGUAAUUCAGCAGGAAUGAAAACUGAGAGUUAUGUUUGAGGUAACAAUAAUUUUAAAGAGCACUUGUUAUUCUAAUGUACGUUUUAAUAAUAAUGCCAAAGUAUUGGUUCUGAUAAAAUAGACGCACAAUGUUAACAAAGUAAAUUUCAUCAAAAAGCACUCUUUUAAGUGUAAGGAAAUAAUUUAGUUUUCUGAAACCACAAACCAAAACACAAAACAAGAUAAAACGCACAAUUUGGGAACCUCUUCUCUAGACUUGGAGUGUAGCGCCCCAGCAGGCCACUUAGCUAAGAGGAAGAAUGACUGGAUUCAAUCCCCAGCGCCUGAGAACAAAAACGAACAAACACAAACAAAAACUCCUCUACACCUUAUUUUCAUUCUUCUCCCUCACAUCAAACAUUGCCAGCACAGAGGGAUUUCCCGGUCUGCUUUUCUGCACAUAUUAAAAUGGAGGGCUUGUGCAUGACAUGCGAUUAGCUUGAAGGAGAGCUCUAAGUCUUAGGUUUGCCUCUGUGUUAGAGCCCCCGAUGAAAGAGAGGAAGUACACCGGAUAUUGCCCUGAGGAUGUUCAUGUCUGGUUCCAGACAAAAAGCACAUAUUCUAUUUAUUUUCUUUAGAGUAAUUUGCUUAAACAAAUUAUAUAAAUGUACUGAAUUACAUGUUUACCUACUAAAUUAAAUAAUGAUAAUACUCAAAUUUCUAGAUAAGGUACCAAUUAUAGCUUCUAAACUAUACUUUAAAAAUGAUUAUUUUAUCUCUUUUAUAAUUAUUACCAAAUCAUAUGGCACAUAGUCUCUCUCACAGAACAGAACAAGUAUAACUCAAGGUAUAGCUAAACAAAGAGCAUGUACCCUACCCAACGAGUCCUUCUAAAUUCAUGACACAGGAGCAUUUGCACUACCUCAGAAGAUGUUGUACCUUAAACACACACAAACUGAAGUGAUGCUAUGAAUUGUGUUUUGUGUUUUAACCGUCGAUAAGGAAAUUCUCGGGUUGCAAGUGUAGCUUAGCAGCAGAAUGAUUGCCCAGCAUAUGUGAGGGCCUGGAUCAGUUCCCAGCAGCACGAAAAGAAAAGAAAAUUCUUAUCUCCUUUUAAAGCUGUUUAAGUAAUGUCUUACAUUUAUAGUCGUUACAAGUUUAAUGAAUGCUAUUAAUACAAAAUAAGUAAACCAUAAGGCACUGAAUUUUGAAAAAGAAAUGUUGAAGAAAGUGUUUGUAUGAGAAUGAUGAACUGUACUGUAUACCUAAAAAGGACCAAUAAUCUCAAUGAGAAAAAAAAAAUCAUGCAAAAAGAAAAGAGAAAGUAUUUGCAUGAAAUUUGAAUACAAGGUACUGUUUACAUUAGUCUCUGAAAUAAUAGAUCUUGAAACACCCUAUUGGCUUGAACUCACCAGUAUUCCUCUCAUGGUGUCCCUUUCUGCUGCUCUUAAAUGGCAAAGCCUGAAGCUCCAAUGUACUAUUUCCUCAAUUAAGUGGCUCAAUUUAGUGAAAGGUUUCCUGAAAAUUGGUUAAUUCAUAAGACAGAUCAGUCCAUGAGCUAUUGACUUACCAUCUAGAGUUCAUGAGGAAUGGUAAUUAUUUUUACAAAAUUCACUGUUUUAUUGAUGUAUUUCACUGAAUGGAUAAAUAAAAUAUGCAGUUUAUGGACUACUAAAAAAUCACCCUUCCUAUUCAUCUUGCAUUUUGCUCAGCUUUAUAGACACAUGCUUUAUUCACAAUACAUGGUUGGAUUAAUGACCAGUAUUCCAUGAGCAAAUUGGCAAUAAAUAUCUAUUGCCUUUUUUAAAAUGCAUGCUUGGUAUGGAAGAUAACUGAGCUGCUACCCAUAGGGGCAAUGAGAAGGACAGACGUGCUUUCAACAUUCUGGCUGUAUUGAGAUAUACUGAGAACUGGCACUAGGAAAGAGUGAAGACAGAAAAAUAGUUCCCUGUGGAAGAAGUUAAGAAUUUCUCUAAUAACAGAAUGAGUGAGCAAAUCGAGAACCACAGCUCUGCUACUGUUUAAAAGGCUGUAGAUAACAAUGUAAACAUGUCAGGGAAAGAGCCAUUUACUUCCUCUAUUAUCCUACUGGGUGAAAGGCAUAGCUCUGUAUAGUGAUCAGGAGUCUUUCCAAAUAGCUUUAUUUUUUUCCUUAAAUUGCAUAUCUCUUCAUCGAUUAAUGCCAUGAACUAAAUUUCUUUCAGUAAAUAAACUGAAUCGAGAAAUAAAUAUUUAAAAACUUCCAGAGAGGGUCCUUUAGAAAAUUACAGGGUCAGAAAAAUAGAAUACCUCCUUUCUUGGGGUGUUUUUUGAGAUGAUCAUGCUAAGGCGAUGUGCAUCUUAUAAGUUUGAAGGGAUCUUUUUAAAAAGUCUCCAGGUGAUGGUUACCUGUGUAAGCUUAUAAUUUCAUUAAAACUGAGAAGCCCUGGUACAGCCAUGUGUUGUGUUCAUUAAUAGAUGGUACUUGCAUCUGGGAAUUAAUUCAUUUAAGUAGGGCAAACAUUCAUUAGAGUUGCAGUCCACCGCUAACAGGUUGUAACAGGUUGAAAGGCUUUAGAUAAAUUAUUUAAUGUGUUAAACUCUUGUUCUUAACGACCUAAUAAAGAAGAGAAAUCUCUUUUACAGAUGAACUGAGAGGGACAGAAAACAACAAAGGGAAAGAUAGUUUGAAAAGUUAAGGUAUCUAUGUCUAAGGAUCUAUUACCUGGUGAAUUGUGAAUCUACAAAUUUAAAAUAUUAAAAGUGUUUACGUGCACCACCUUCAUAAAGUAUAGGAAAGCUUUUCCCAACUUGGGUUAAUUUCACAGCUAUCUCAUGCAAGACUAAAUUCACACUACAAUAACUGCAUUAUAUAUUGUAAAGCCAAAUUUAACUUCAUUUUUUACUGAAGAAUAUUAGCAUCAAAUUCACACAUUUAUCAAGCACAUUCAUUAUCUCUAAGAUUUCAAUGUAUAUAUGCAUCUAAUAAUCAAAAUGUGCAAAAAUAUAAUCAUUUAUCCUCCUGGCAAAGCCAGCCUACUCGAUGAUUAUUGUAGAUGUGGACGAAAUACAGGUAUAUUUGCAACUGGAAUGAAAUCACCACUGACCGUAUCUGAACAUGGACUUGCCAGCCUUGUGGAUGUUAAUGUCAUAAUAGUCUGGAUCAUGCAGUCACCAUCGUUGGAAUAACAUUCAUUUGCUGUCAACACUCCUGUGUUAAAACAAAUUAGCUAGAUGAUUAAUGAAUAUCCAAAUCAGCAUGUGGAUUCUCUGUGCUGAUAUCUUCCCUAGUGUGAAACCCAUGGGCCUCCAACUCAGUGAGAUAAUUGUUGGCUCAAAAGGAAGGCCUGAAGGACUACGGGAGCACACGGAAAAAUAUUUCUGGCCAUGAAACACUGGAGAGAGACUGUGUCCUUCGUUCCAUAACAGAUGGAAGACUGAGGUGUGGGGUGUUGUUCUUUUUCCUAUGCUUUGUUAUCAAAACAAAAUGGAAGGAGGCUAAUUCAUUAAGAAAUGAUCAGAUUUAAUCCAGAAAAAGAAGUCUGAAGAGCAAAAUAAUGUAAUCAUAUAGCCUGACUUUCACAUAGAUCACAGUUGGUCUUUUCCUUUCCCAUCACCAAAAUGAAGUGUUUUCCCGUGUUACUUACCACCAAGCACGAAGAAGGAUGAUAUAAAGAUGUUAAAUAAAGCUAACUUGGAAGUAAGAGACAUCUAUUACGUUACAAAGCAAAAUAUAAGUAUGUAUAUAUAGCACACCCAUUGAUAGGUGCAUAACAUAUGCAUGAUUGUUUUAUCAACAUAAAAUUUGCACAUGCAUGUAUACAUCU